AGAAUCAACGCUGGCGGCGUGCCUAACACAUGCAAGUCGAACGAGAAAGUGGGAGCAAUCCCACGAGUAAAGUGGCGCACGGGUGAGUAACACGUGACUAACCUACCCUUGAGUGGGGGAUAACCUAGGGAAACCUGGGCUAAUACCGCAUAAUACCUACGGGUCAAAGGAGCAAUUCGCUUUAGGAGGGGGUCGCGGCAGAUUAGUUAGUUGGCGGGGUAAUGGCCCACCAAGACAGUGAUCUGUAUCCGGCCUGAGAGGGCGCACGGACACACUGGAACUGAAACACGGUCCAGACUCCUACGGGAGGCAGCAGUGGGGAAUUUGCGCAAUGGGGGAAACCCUGACGCAGCAACGCCGCGUGGAGGAUGAAGCCCCUUGGGGCGUAAACUCCUUUCGAUCGGGAAGAUAAUGACGGUACCGGAAGAAGAAGCCCCGGCUAACUUCGUGCCAGCAGCCGC
rnacentral:rRNA from 1 species